UCAUUUAAAGAAAGCGUAACAGCUCACUGGUCUAAAUAAGAGAUCCUGCGGCGAAAAUGUAACGGGGCUAAAGUGAUGCACCGAAGCUUAGGGUUCAGUAGCAAUACUGAGCGGUAGCGGAGCGUUCCGUAAGCGAGUGAAGCGGGAGGGUAACCGACCGUGGACGUAUCGGAAGUGCGAAUGCUGACAUGAGUAGCGACAAAGAGGGUGAGAUGCCCUCUCGCCGAAAGACCAAGGGUUCCUGCUUAAAGCUAAUCUGAGCAGGGUAAGCCGGCCCCUAAGACGAGCCCGAAGGGGGUAGUCGAUGGGAACCACGUUAAUAUUCGUGGGCCUGGAGAUGUGUGACGGAUCUCUUACGUUGUAUGUCCUUAUCGGAUUGGACAUGCUUCCACGAGGUUCCAGGAAAUAGCCUCUCCGUAUAGACCGUACCCGAAACCGACACAGGUGGUCAGGUAGAGUAUACCAAGGCGCUUGAGAGAAGUAUCCUGAAGGAACUCGGCAAAUUGCCUCCGUACCUUCGGAAGAAGGAGGCCCCACUUCUGCGCAAGCAGUUGUGGGGGGCACAGGCCAGGGGGUAGCGACUGUUUAGCAAAAACACAGGACUCUGCUAAGUCGGCUUCAAGACGACGUAUAGGGUCUGACGCCUGCCCGGUGCCGGAAGGUUAAGAGGAGGAGUGCAAGCUCUGAAUUGAAGCCCCGGUAAACGGCGGCCGUAACUAUAACGGUCCUAAGGUAGCGAAAUUCCUUGUCGGGUAAGUUCCGACCUGCACGAAUGGCGUAACGACUUCCCCACUGUCUCCAGGAUAUGCUCAGCGAAAUUGAAUUCUCCGUGAAGAUGCGGAGUACCCGCGGUUAGACGGAAAGACCCCGUGCACCUUUACUGCAGCUUCAGAGUGGCAUUAGGAAAGAAUUGUGUAGCAUAGGUGGGAGGCUUUGAAGCCGGGACGCCAGUUCCGGUGGAGCCAUAGGUGAAAUACCACCCUGUUGUUUUCUGAUGUCUAACCUCGCACCGUUAUCCGGUGCAGGGACCCUCUGUGGCGGGUAGUUUGACUGGGGCGGUCGCCUCCUAAAGAGUAACGGAGGCGCGCGAUGGUAGGCUCAGGACGGUUGGAAACCGUCUGCGAGAGUGCAAUGGCAUAAGCCUGCCUGACUGCGAGACUGACGAGUCGAGCAGAGACGAAAGUCGGUCAUAGUGAUCCGGUGAUCCCGUGUGUGGAGGGUCAUCGCUCAACGGAUAAAAGGUACUCCGGGGAUAACAGGCUGAUCGCCCCCAAGCGUCCAUAGCGACGGGGCGGUUUGGCACCUCGAUGUCGGCUCAUCACAUCCUGGGGCUGGAGCAGGUCCCA
rnacentral:rRNA from 1 species